ACGGGAGGCAGCAGUGGGGAAUCUUCCGCAAUGGGCGCAAGCCUGACGGAGCAACGCCGCGUGAGUGAAGAAGGUCUUCGGAUCGUAAAGCUCUGUUGAGAGGGACGAGAGAUAAUGUCAGGAAAUGGGCAUUAGAGGACGGUACCUUUCGAGGAAGCCACGGCUAACUACGUGCCAGCAGCCGCGGUAAUACGUAGGGAGCAAGCGUUAUCCGGAUUUACUGGGUGUAAAGGGCGUGUAGGCGGGACAUCAAGUCAGAUGUGAAAGCACGAGGCUCAACUUCGUGUCUGCAUUUGAAACUGACGUUCUUGAGUGUUGGAGAGGCUAACGGAACUCCUAGUGUAGCGGUGAAAUGCGUAGAUAUUAGGAAGAACACCAGUGGCGAAGGCGGUUAGCUGGACAAUAACUGACGCUGAGGCGCGAAAGCGUGGGUAGCAAACAGGAUUAGAUACCCUGGUA
rnacentral:rRNA from 1 species